GUUGUGACCCAGUUUUCCUGAAAAAUCAACACUAAGACAUGAUUAAAUAUAUAAGGAUUUUUUUUUAGAAAAAAAUGGCUUUAUGAGAGAAGGGGUCUGGACAGGCUGAGAAGACAAUGCAAGUCUGACCCUGAGUGCAAUAGAAAGAGAAACUGUAAUACUGUGCAAUCUAAGGCAGGUUUGGCGAAGCCUUUGGGAAGCCUUCAAGCCAAAGCCGACUGUAACCAGGUCCUGAGAAGUCAGGACCUUCUGGGACAGAAGAAAGCUUUGGGACAAGACUCAGUGGAAGAGCAACAUCCUGGGACCCAGAGAAGAAGAGGCUCUGUUGUGCCUGCCUCAAGUUAGGAGAAGCCCAUGCAUAGUUGGUCCUUACAGUGGUCACUAAUGCAGAAACAGUGGCCCAAAUUGGAGACAGUAAUUGUUUAUCAGAUCAUAAACCACAUAGCCAUGAAAAGACUCCAGAAGAGUCAAGAGAAUCUUUAAGAAGAAAGCUGGAGGACUUACACCAUCAUACAGUAAG